CAGCAGUCGCCGCGGUAAUACGAAGGGUGCAAGCGUUACUCGGAAUUACUGGGCGUAAAGCGUGCGUAGGUGGUGGUUUAAGUCCGUUGUGAAAGCCCUGGGCUCAACCUGGGAAUUGCAGUGGAUACUGGGUCACUAGAGUGUGGUAGAGGAUAGUGGAAUUUCCGGUGUAGCAGUGAAAUGCGUAGAGAUCGGAAGGAACAUCUGUGGCGGAGGCGACUAUCUGGGCCAACACUGACACUGAGGCACGAAAGCGUGGGGAGCAAACAGGAUUAGAUACCCGCGUAGUCCCUGUCUCUUAUAC
rnacentral:rRNA from 1 species